rnacentral:rRNA from 1 species
GUGGGGAAUAUUGGGCAAUGGGCGAAAGCCUGACCCAGCAACGCCGCGUGAAGGAAGAAGGCUUUCGGGUUGUAAACUUCUUUUACCAGGGACGAAGGACGUGACGGUACCUGGAGAAAAAGCUCCGGCUAACUACGUGCCAGCAGCCGCGGUAAUACGUAGGGAGCGAGCGUUGUCCGGAUUUACUGGGUGUAAAGGGCGUGUAGGCGGAGACGCAAGUCAGGAGUGAAAUCCCCGGGCUCAACCCGGGAACUGCUUUUGAAACUGCGUCCCUUGAGUAUCGGAGAGGCAGGCGGAAUUCCUAGUGUAGCGGUGAAAUGCGUAGAUAUUAGGAGGAACACCAGUGGCGAAGGCGGCCUGCUGGACGACAACUGACGCUGAGGCGCGAAAGCGUGGGGAGCAAACAGG